AGUCAUCGACCGCGCAGAAAACUAGUUCUCACUUUUUUCCAACGUUUCGGCAGGUUCAAAAUAGCACUUCUCCCUCUUCUUCUUCCCAUCGCCUCCUCGCAUUUGCUUGAUAGACAUCGCUAGUGAUUUUUCACUGGCAGAUGACAAUAAAAAACUUGUCCACCUUUUACUUUUUUCGGAAAUCUU
ensembl:ncRNA T04F8.13 ncRNA